GCUCUUGUUUUCUUUUCACUGAGGUCUUGAAUGUGUUUCACGGUUUGUUUUAUUGCUCAUGUACACAUGUUGUUGGACUUGUGUUAGAUCCAUAUGGAUCAAGUACAAUCUUUCCAUGCAUCAGUGGAUAUAAUCUCACAUGGAUACUGUUGACAUGUGCUUAAGGAUGUAAACCUGCCCUGUGCUUAUCUAAAAAUGUACAGUUUAUGGACAAAUGGGACUCCAGAAUUCAGGAGUCAGACUAGUGGAUUUUUAGAUUGUGAAAAUCACUAUGCAGAUAAUAAACUGCUGUCUGAUGUCCCUAUUGGUGCUUGGUUUAUUAUCGGGUUGGCAAACUCUUGUGGUACCGGAGCGCCGUCAGACAGAGCCACAGACCCUGAGUCGGCGUUCCCGCCUUCGACCUGCACCAUCUGAUCCCUCGUCCCGCACUCAUACUCCGAAUACGCGCUGUCGCCUGUACGCCGGAACUUCACUACGCUGUGGGACAGAAGGACAUCCACGCACACAGAUAUAUAUAUUACUGUAGACACUGACGUAUUAGGUUUCAAGUCAGUUCUUGACAGUAUGAUGAUGUUGGGUACAAUAAGGCUGCUAUUUUUUUUCACUGUUUGGGGGAGAAUUACUGCAGUGUUCGAUGAUGAGUCAUCGCUUGCUGCAAGCAGGAUCGAGCUGACCAGACAAAACCUAAUACUAAAACAACAGAAGUCUUUUAGAACUGGUCAUUAGUGGGUUACCAAGACAACAGGAGAAAGAAAAGAUUGUUUAAAAUCAAGAGUAAAUUGUUAUAGAGAAAUGAAUUUUGAAAGUACAUUUGGGAGGGGGUGUUCUAGUUGGUUAAAAUAAUCAACAAAAGGUUAUGAUGUAACCUAAAACAAAUUAGAGUCACUGGUACCACCCUAAAGUACCCUAAAGUUGCAAUAUAAUUUUGCUAUAUAAGGGCUGGGUGCAGGUUUUCAUUUCAACAAAUCAAAGGCCACACUUAAUAGUCAUGAUAGAUGAUUUCUGGCCCUUCAUAGGAAAAAAGAUUGGGCAACUCUGUUAUGAGAAAUAAAACUUUUCUUUUACACCAAA